AGCUAAUUCGCACACUUGAUCCAACGUUGCCAAGUCACUAAAAUCUCAAUAUUUGACACCAAUUUGACAAUUGACAAAUUAUCUUGUAAAUAAAUAAAUAAAUCUAAAUAGUUAUCCUAACAAAACAAAGUCGGGAACAAUGGAUAAAAGCCAGAAGGAGAACAAAACUAAAAUUAAAAUAUGAAAGAAUAUGCAAUAAACAUUGUGUAAGUGAAAAGCCAGCCACUUUAAAAAGAUAUUCCAAACCAAAACAUGAGUUACCAAAGCAGGCAAUAAAAAGAAAAGGUAAUCUAGAAUGCAAGAAAAGAGCUGAUGAAAGAAGUAAAUGUAAAGAAAAUAAUGCGGAGACUUCUCUCGACCAUGAACAAACACCAGAUAUUUUAUAUAUGUAGAAAAAGGAAAAACUGCUGGAACUUUAAUUUAAAGGCUUUUGACUAGUGAAGAUUUGGAUAAACAACAGGAGUUACUUUGGGCUAUAGCUACGUGCAAAUUUAUUUUCUUGUGGCUUCCUAUGUUUAUUCUUAUUAACUAUACACUUUGAUAUGUUUUUAGUCGCAUGAAUAUUUUAUAGUUUAUUAUUUUAUGUAUAUUGUUAUAUUUGUGUUGAAUAAACAUUAUUAUUAUUAUUACCUUAAUUUCCAUUAAAUAAAUUAACUGUAAUCAAUAAAUCGUUUUUAAUGUUAAUAAAUAAAUUAUCAAUAAUGAUUCCCAAAUAUUUUAUUUGUUUGACAACUUCUAUGGGUUGAUUGUGAGAUUAAUAUUGAUGAUAUUAAUAUUUCGUAGUAAUAAUCAAUGCUUUGGUUUAAGAAAUAGACAACUUAGAAUAGAAAUAUGCUUUAUUGUCAUGGAAAAUUGUACAAUUUUAUAGACAAUGCUUACAGAGUCAUAAAAAAAUACAAAACAAUAACAAACACAAAAAUCAAUAACAAGUUUAACUUGAAUUGGUGUGCUACGCUACAAGGAUAUUAGUGAGUGAAAAACACUUUCAAACCCAAUGAUAACAAAAACUUUCCAUAGAAGGUCACAAUUUUUAAAUCGAUCAUAUUUUCUUUUAAUUGUAAACGGCGAUCAUAU
rnacentral:lncRNA from 1 species